rnacentral:snRNA from 1 species
AGCGUUCAUAGCGACGUUG